CGAAGGAUCCAAGCGUUAUCCGGAUUUAUUGGGUUUAAAGGGUGCGUAGGCGGACUUGUAAGUCAGUAGUGAAAGCCCGAUGCUUAACAUCGGAACUGCCAUUGAUACUGCAAGUCUUGAAUAUGUUUGAAGUGGGCGGAAUGUGUCGUGUAGCGGUGAAAUGCUUAGAUAUGACACAGAACACCGAUUGCGAAGGCAGCUCACUAAACCAUUAUUGACGCUGAGGCACGAAAGCGUGGGGAGCAAACAGGAUUAGAUACCCUGGUAGUCCACGCCCUAAACGUUGAAUACUCGAUAUGUGCGAUACACUGUACGUGUCCAAGAGAAAUCGUUAAGUAUUCCACCUGGGGAGUACGCUCGCAAGAGUG
rnacentral:rRNA from 1 species